rnacentral:rRNA from 1 species
CCUACGGGUGGCAGCAGUGGGGAAUAGUGGACAAUGGGGGCAACCCUGAUCCAGCCAUGCCGCGUGUGUGAAGAAGGCCCUCGGGUUGUAAAGCACUUUCAGUGAGGAAGAACGCCUGGUGGUUAAUACCCAUCAGGAAAGACAUCACUCACAGAAGAAGCACCGGCUAACUCCGUGCCAGCAGCCGCGGUAAUACGGAGGGUGCGAGCGUUAAUCGGAAUUACUGGGCGUAAAGCGCGCGUAGGUGGCUUGAUAAGCCGGUUGUGAAAGCCCCGGGCUCAACCUGGGAACGGCAUCCGGAACUGUCAAGCUAGAGUGCAGGAGAGGAAGGUAGAAUUCCCGGUGUAGGGGUGAAAUGCGUAGAGAUCGGGAGGAAUACCAGUGGCGAAGGCGGCCUUCUGGACUGACACUGACACUGAGGUGCGAAAGCGUGGGUAGCAAACAGGAUUAGAUACCCUUGUAGUC